rnacentral:rRNA from 1 species
GCCGAUUAACUAGCUCAUACACUUGGUUUAAAACCACAACAUACAUAGACCCCCAUGAAUUAAUACCCCAACAUCAAACCA